CCAAGAUUAGCCAUGCAUGUGUAAGUAUAAAUAAUUCUACUUUGAAACGGCGAAGGGCUCAUUAUAUCAUUUAUAUUUUAUUAAAAAAAAUUUACUACUUGGAUAACCGUAUUAAUUCUAGGGCUAAAACAUGACUAAUUCCUCAACUUUGAAAAGGUGUGUUUAUAAAUAGGAAAACCAUAUGCUUUGGCAUAAUAGUGAGUAAUAAUAACCUUUCAAAUCGUAGGUUGAAAUAACGAUUGUUCUUUCAAGUUUCUGCCCUAUCAGCUUUCGAUGGUAGUGCAUUGGACUACCAUGGCAGUAACGGGUAACGAAAAAUUUGGGUUCAAUUUCGGAAAGGGAGCCUGAAAGAUGGCUACCACAUCCAAGGAAGGCACCAGGCCCGUAAUUAACCCAUCCCUGACAUAGGGAGGUAUGGACAAUAAAUCACAAUGCGGGACUUUGUUUUUUGCAUUUGGAUUGAAAACAAUGUAAAACAGUUAUCGAUAAACAAUUGAGAGGGCAAGUGGGGUGCCAGCCCCCGCGGUAAUUCCCUCUCCUAUAGCGUAUAUAAACGUUGUUGCUUAAAAAAACCCCAC
rnacentral:rRNA from 1 species